rnacentral:rRNA from 1 species
UACAGAGGGUGCGAGCGGUUGUUCGGAAUUAUUGGGCGUAAAGGGCGCGUAGGCGGUGCGGUAAGUCACCUGUGAAAUCUCCUGGCUCGAACUGGGAGCUUGCAGGCGAAACUGCCGUGCUGGAGUGGUGGGAGAGGGUGCGUGGAAUUCCCGGUGUAGCGGUGAAAUGCGUAGAUAUCGCUUGGAACGGCCGCAGGUGAA